GUUGAAUGAACAAUGAUACAAACAAAACUAUUGAUGCUGCAUGAAAAUGAUUAUGUACAAAUGGGAUAAAUAUGUAAUCAUUCCGUGCAUAUCAAGCUGUGAACUGAACAGAUGUACAAUAGUAUAGCAUGGUGCAUGAAAGGACCCUGAACGAAAAUGGGCCCUUGAAACCUUUAAUCAUAAUAGUCCAAUUAUUAUAGGCCCACGUCUUAUAAAGUGUUAGGUACUUAGGUCUUCAUUAUAAAAAAAAAAAGAAAAAAGAAAGGGAAAAGCAAGAGAGGGGCAGCAGAGAAAGAGGAGGGAAGAAUAGUGCUCUUUGAGAGGAAAGCAAUCUUAGGCUUUAAUUCAUCUUUGCCCAAGCAAAAAGGAGAAAUAUGCUUGAGCAUGGGGUGCAUGGUGAGGGAGAUCGAAGUCAAUUCUUUUUUUUUAUUAUUAUUUUUUUGUGUCAAGAACUUAGUUGAUUUUAUUUUAUGUUUCUCUUUCUAAGGAGUUGUUGAAAUAGAUGAAUUGAAUAAGUGUCCAAAUAUUCACAGAUUGCAAUUGUUUUAAGUUUAUCUAAUAGAGUUCUUUUCAAUUUU